rnacentral:rRNA from 1 species
CAGUAGCCGCGGAAAUACGGAGGGUGCAAGCGUUAAUCGGAAUUACUGGGCGUAAAGCGCACGCAGGCGGUCUGACAAGUCAGAUGUGAAAUCCCCGGGCUUAACCUGGGAACUGCAUUUGAAACUGUCAGGCUGGAGUCUUGUAGAGGGGGGUAGAAUUCCAGGUGUAGCGGUGAAAUGCGUAGAGAUCUGGAGGAAUACCGGUGGCGAAGGCGGCCCCCUGGACAAAGACUGACGCUCAGGUGCGAAAGCGUGGGGAGCAAACAGGAUUAGAUACCCCUGUAGUCCCUGUCUCUUAUAC